rnacentral:lncRNA from 1 species
CACUUAUUUCUAAAAAUAACCCUUUUGAGAUAUUUAUAUUGUCGUCUGCAUUUUACAGAUGGUGCAACUGAUCUGCAGAGAAGCUAAUUAACUUGCCCAAAGUUAUGCAGCUAAGGAAUGGCUUUAGAAAGCAAAAGAAAAAUUUUUUAUUAAGAAAUGAAAAGAAAAAAGACGCAGUAUGACUCAGACUGAUAAACCAUUUGCAUGAGAGAACUAUACACCAUUUGAAAAAGAGCUUUUUUGCAAGGUGUGGUGGCUAACUCCUGUAACCCUGGCAACUCGAAAGGCUGAGGCAGGAGGAUCACUUGGGGCCAGGAGGUGGAGACCAGCCUGGUCAAUACAGCAAGAUCCUGUCUCUAAAAUAAAGAAACAAAUAAAAGAAAAAGAAAAACAGCUUUUGGUAUGCUACUGGACUCACAUAGAAACCAAUCUUCUGAACCUAGAACAUCAAAUGACCACAUAAUAAAAUUAUCUAUCUUGAACUGAGUUAGACCAUUAGUUAACAAGUCAUAACAUUAGGCAACCUCAGCAGUGAUCUGUUGUAAAAUGGAAGUGUUAUAUUUAAAGUUUUGGGCUCAAUUAAGUCCAGAGAGCUUAAGUAAGCUUUAAGAAAGAUGGCUUGGACCUCCAUGUCACCUGAAAAUGUUGCAUUAACAACACUUCCUCAGCCUCAUGGGAGGAAUUCUCCAUUACCAGCUGAUAGAGAAAGACAAUUUGAGUUUGAUCCAUGGAUAGACUGGCUUGAUACAUGGUUACCGGUGGAAAAUGAACUGCUAUUUUACUAUACCACUUACUUGGGAAUGUCCCUGACAGACAGUUGUGAGGAAAAUCCCUUAGGCAGAGUAUCUGUCAGUUCAUUUGGUCAUUCAUUUGUAUAAUAAGAAAAGUCGUCCAAACUAAGGGUAUACGUGAACUCUUAGGCAAUAGUUAAUGGUUUAGCUCUCUGGUGAGAAGUCAGAAAGGAAUAAGAUUGGAAGAUUGGGAUCAAGUAGGACUAGAAAAGAAGCAUGUAUUUAGACCUAUGGGAGUGGGCACGUGGUGUGAGCAUGUUUGUAUUGCAUGCUAACUCUCCCCACCCCCUUUUAUGCCAUUUCUCAUUAUAUCUACCAAAUCAUUUGUACUGCAGAAUCUUUUAUAUUUUUCACUGGACUGAUUAUAUGAAUGUAGUAUUAAUUAACAAGUUUCUCCACACCCACGUUUUUGCAAUAAUUUGGCAGUAGAUCCAGAUUUGAUUAGGUUCAUCUUUGCUUUUUUUCUUUUUUUGGCAAUAACAGACCAUAGAGAGGUGAUAUAAUCUGAACUUCCUAUUGCAUCAGGAAGAACAUAAUGUAUUCUCUUAUUUUUAUUUAGGUUAAGAUGGAUCAAGUGUUGUCAUCUAUCCAUUAAAAAUUUUUCCCAUCAAUCUUUCAUCUAAUAGUUUUAGCAUUUAUUAUUUAAUUCAAGGUGCAAAGUGGUGAUGUUUCAAUUCUA